rnacentral:misc_RNA from 1 species
UUUCGCUUGAGUUAAGAAUUAAGUUCCUAGAAUUUGCUAGAGGGAAAAAACAAACGAGCAAGCAAGCAAGCAAUACUGGAGAGAGAAACAGUGGACAAAGAUGCAAAGAAAGAAACAAAGGGGCUAAGCUCUCUGUUCGUACCUUUUCUUCCACAUUUUCUACCUUUCUUUUUUCUUUCUUCCGCUGCUGCUUUUUUUCUUUUUUUUCUAACCAAGUUAUAAUCUUUCCACAGGUUGGAGGCUUUUCUUUAUUUAUUUUAUAGAAUUCUGAUGCAGUAUUAGUCUACGUCUCUCUCUUUUUCUCUUUCUGUUUGUGAUAAAAAGUUCAUUGAAUCUUAGCUCCUAAGCUUCUUUACUUUUGAAAAGUUCUUCAAGCGCUUCUCUCAUUCUUAUUGGCCGCCAAAUUUGCUUCCAUUUCACCUCCUCCUAGGAUUAUUGACUGUACGUUCAUGGUUUUUUCUUUUUCUGAAAAUUUUUUAUUGGGUGGUUUCAUUUUUCAGAUUGGGUGAGUUUAUGAUUGGUGUUGCGGAGGAAGAGACAGUUGAGAUAGAGAUCAACGGGAAUGGAAAGAUCUGGUAGGAAGUACUUGAAUUUGGAGAUCUAUCUUAAGGUCUUUCUUGGGUUUGUUUUGAUCUGCGCAGCGACUAUUUCUCUUGGAGUUACUAAUCCCACUGAUGUUGCUGCAAUUAAUAGCUUAUACUCUUCUCUGGGAAAUCCUGUACUGCCCGGGUGGGUUGCUUCAGGGGGAGACCCUUGUGGCGAAGGGUGGCAAGGUGUUGGAUGUGAGGUUUCAGGCAUAACUUCCAUAGUUCUCAAUGGAGCUAAUUUGGGAGGAGAACUUGGUAAUGACUUGGGCAUGUUUACUUCUAUCAGAUCAAUAGAUUUAAGCAAUAACCGCAUUGGGGGGAGCAUUCCAUCCAAUCUACCUGUUACUAUGCAAAACUUUUUUCUCUCAGCAAAUAAUUUCACUGGAAGCAUCCCGGAUUCAAUAUCCUCUCUGACUUUACUGACAGCCAUGUCUCUGAACAACAAUUUCUUAAGUGGAGAGAUACCAGAUUCCUUCCAGUCCCUUGCGGGGUUGAUCAAUCUAGACUUAUCUAGUAACAAUUUGAGUGGGCAAUUGCCUGCUUCUUUUCAAAAUUUGAUUCAUCUUACAACCUUACGUUUGCAGGAAAAUCGGCUGUCUGGGACCCUUGAUGUUCUACAAGAUCUUCCCUUGAAAGAUUUGUAUUAUUCCCAAACAUGUUUCUUUUAAUUUACAUUCAACUAUCAAUUCAUAAAAUUGUCCUCUAUUUGGGGAAUUCCAUUGUCAAGUUUCUAAAAUUUUGUAGGAUAAUUCUUUAUUAUGUUGUCCUCAUCUUAAUCAGGAACAUAGAGAAUAACUUGUUCUCAGGACCCAUACCUGAGAAGAUGCUGACCAUCCCAAAUCUCAGAACAGACGGGAACCCAUUCAAUGAUACAUCUGUCCCAUUACCUUCACCAACAUCCCCACUGACACCACCACCAGCACCAGGGCUUCCUGGAGCUCCAACUUCACCCUCAUCUGGGAAAACACCUGGCAAACAGGUUGAUGGGCCAUCUUCAUCUGAGGAAUCUAGUUCUGGAGGAAAAAAAUCUACCAAAAAAAUAGUUUGGAUAUCAAUUGCUGGUGUAUUGUCGUUUGUAAUUUUGGCAUUAGGACUAGUGCUUUUUAUGCCAAAAUGUAGCAGAAGAAGAGAGCAGGCCAGCAGAAUUUUCGAGCGGCAUCAAGUUGAUGCGUAUAAAGGCAACCGAGAGAAUCCAAGGGAUCAUGAGUCCUUGGUCCAACCAGCUAAGGAAACAGAAAAAGUUCCAAAGGAGGCUAGGGUACGGCCAAAGGAGGAUCAUCCAAAGCCACAAACUGUGCAGGAGAGAACUAUGCCCAGAAUACCAAAGCGGGAUGAUUAUGAAAUAGAUAUGAGCAGAGUAGAUUCGUUUGUCAUGCCCCCUCCCCCUCCACCUCUACCACCACCAUUGCCUCCUCCUCCUCCUCCUCCACCCCCUUCAUCACCUCCUCUACCUUCAGCGGAGGUCAUCGUUACACCAAUUGUGCCUGCAGAGGCGAGUACAGCAAAGCCUCCCACUAAAGCUCAGAAACCCUUCGCUUCUGCCAGGUCUUUCACCAUUGCAUCCCUUCAGCAAUACACAAACAGCUUUUCUCAAGAAAAUCUUAUAGGUGGAGGUAUGCUGGGAAAUGUUUAUAGGGCGGAGCUUCCUAAAGGAAAGCUUCUUGCAGUUAAGAAACUGGACAAGAAGGCUUCAAGCCAGCAGAACGAUGAUGAGUUCAUUGAACUGGUUAACAAUGUUGAUCGGAUCCGAAAUGCUAAUGUUGUUGAGCUCAUGGGUUUCUGUGCGGAGCAUGGUCAAAGGCUUCUGAUUUAUGAGUAUUGCAGUAAUGGAACACUACAGGAUGCACUACAUUCAGAUGAUGAAUCGAAGAAGCAGCUUUCCUGGAACGCCCGUGUCAGGAUGGCGCUUGGAGCUGCCAGAGCUUUAGAGUAUUUGCAUGAGAUCUGUCAGCCACCUGUUGUCCACAGAAAUUUCAAGUCUGCAAACAUUCUCCUAGAUGAUGAUCUUGCUGUUCGUGUCUCAGAUUGUGGUUUGGCUCCACUAAUAUCAUCAAAUGAUGUUAGUCAGUUGUCAGGGCAACUGCUAACAGCUUAUGGUUAUGGGGCUCCAGAAUUUGAGUCAGGAAUUUAUACUGCACAGAGUGAUGUUUAUAGCUUUGGGGUGGUUAUGUUAGAACUCUUAACAGGCCGAAAGUCCCUUGACAGGACACGAAAUCGAGGCGAACAAUUUCUGGUGAGGUGGGCAGUACCCCAGCUUCAUGACAUUGAUGCAUUGUCCAGGAUGGUUGAUCCUUCUCUUAAUGGAGAGUACCCUGCCAAAUCAUUAUCAAACUUUGCUGAUAUUAUUUCUCGGUGUGUUCAGACUCAGCCAGAAUUCAGGCCAUCAAUGUCUGAAGUUGUCCAGGAUCUGCUAGACAUGAUUCGGAGAGAGCGCCACAGCAGUGAGUCAAUUGGGGACUGAUAGAAAUUAUAAACUAGACCCUGUCAUCUAAGCACACGAAUGCAAAGAUGCUGAUGUUGAUCUGUUGUAAAUCCAACCCAAGAAGGUGCAUCUACCGUAAACAAAAUGCACUAUGCUAACAUCCUCAACUGUUCACAUCUCAAUUUCUUACCCUUCAAGGAAAUCAGCUAGAAGAUGCUGACACGCAGAAUAGGCUGCAAAAAUGAAGUGGUUGGAACUCUGAACAAAUUUGAUUCGUCUGGAAUUUAUUGGUGAUUCGAUUGUUGAUUAAAUUAUGCAAUCUCUUCGUAAACUGCACAAAUCAGCUAACGUGAUUGUUUUGUAUUUGUCAUUGGUUGCUAAUUCUUGAUAAUGAAAUUUUGUUUGUAAUGCAACAUCUAUACUAAUGAUGUUUAUGUUGGGUUCUGCCAAUUCAUAUCAAUAUUUACAAUAGUUCAAUAGAGAAAAGGGAAAAGGACAUGAGAACCUCCAAACCUCUUGGACAAGGAUGCGCUACAGAUUGUAAAGUGCAUCAAAUGGUUGUGUUCAAAAGGUGAAAUGAAAAUACCUUUUCUAUGUGAACUUGAUGUGCUAUGCCGUGUUACCAACGAUUGUAAUCUUACCAAUAAGCUUUAGUGGUGGUGAAAUCUCCAGGGCUGUCUUGAGGGGUGAGCCAGUGUGAAUCGGUGUGUGUAGCUUAUAUAGAUUACCACCUU